CUCACAGACACACACACAUACUCAGACACACACUCACACACAGACACACACACAUACUCAGACCCACACUCACACACAGACACUCACACAUAUACACUCACAGACACACACACACAUACACUCACAGACACACACUCACCUAUACACUCACAGACGCACACACAUUCACAGACACACACACAUACAUGCAUAGACACACACACACUCACAGCACACACACACAUACACUCAUAGACACACACACACUCACAGACACACACUCAGACACACACACACACACACACACACACACAGACAGACACACACACACACAUAGACUCACAGACACAGACACAUACACUCACAGAAACACACACACACAUUCACAGACAUCAUAUUUUGGCUCCUGGCAUCAGCAAACGGCGCGAGGGAGCAGAGCAGAGAGAACACAGCUCCCUCGCUGCG